UACGUAGGGCGCGAGCGUUGUCCGGAAUUAUUGGGCGUAAAGAGCUCGUAGGCGGCCUGUUGCGUCCGCUGUGAAAUCCCGGGGCUCAACCCUGGGCGUGCAGUGGAUACGGGCAGGCUGGAGGCAGGCAGGGGAGAACGGAAUUCCCGGUGUAGCGGUGAAAUGCGCAGAGUAUCGGGAGGAACACCGGUGGCGAAGGCGGUU
rnacentral:rRNA from 1 species